AUGAUGAGAGUGGAAGUUGCCCAAUUCUCACAUCAUCAGCAGAUGGUUCCCCAUAUUUGGAAAAUUUUCACGUGGCUGGGGAAAGAAACUGCCAGCUCCUCAAAUCAGUUCUGCCUAGUGGUGCUUUUGCCUGCUGUCUGUCUUAUCUCGGUCUCAUCCCCGUCAGAAAGAAAUCCCACACCCAGUGGCCCCGAGGCCUGGGCAGCAGAACGUACCAUCCUGGAGCCAGCAGCUGGGCAUCGCAGGGAGAGCUCAGGGCCUGACAAAGAUCGGAGUCUAGACGCUGGUGCGGCCGUGCUGCCGGCAAAACCAUUUGGAGGGAAUCAAGGGACUGCCUCCGUGGGACGGAGGAGAACCCGGGAGACGUGGCCCUUGUUUGGUGCUGUGACCGGAGAAGAACCACUGUGGAGAUGCAGAGUUUGGGCAGUAAACUCCCAGGACAGCUUUUUUCUCAAUGCCGUGGCGUCCCCCACCCCAAGGCCUGUUCUCCCCUUCCGAGUCAUCGGUGAGUGGCUGUGAUUUCAGUGUCAUUUUAAAACCUCCUCAACACAGACUUGCUCUGGCAGACAAAAAAAUAUCUGAGAGUCGCAGCUGGAUGAAGCUGGCAGGGUUUGAGGCAUAAAGCACAGAUAUCCCACAGCGGAAGCAAGGCUGCGUUUCCAUGGGCAGGGCCAUGCCCAGGGGGGUGCCGACCUGAACUCCGGGGCCCUCCCUUCCCAUUAACAUUUGCUGAUGGUGAAAACCAGUUCAAGUGCACAUCAAGCACAGCCGAGCAAGGCCAUGGGGGUGAGGCAGGGUGAGGGCUGGGGAGAGGUGGCACAAGAAAAGGAGUAGCUGGGUGUUGGGUGGCUGGCCGACGAAAGCCUUGGGAGCUGCCUCCUUCCUUCUGCCUCCACCUACUGUUUUCAAAAUCUCUUCAUUGGUUUUCUAAGAAGAGCCUGCUCUGGGCCAGGCUAGGAGCCGGGUUAGAGUAGAAAACAUAAUGGAUAAGGUCCCUGCCUUCAUGGAACUCACAGUCUAGCAGAAGCCAGACAGGGAAAUGAGUCACUACAAGGGUGCUAAGCAUUUAGGAGAUGAGCGGGGUCCUCCGGGAACAUAUACCAACAGGCCUACCUGGCCUGGGUAAUCAGAGAACACCUUCUGGAAAGAGUGAUAUUAAAGCCAAGACCGAAGGAUCAAUAGGAGUUUGCUAGGCAAAGAGAUAUUGGGGGGGUCGGGGGGGUGGGUGGCGGUACUGGGAGGAGUGUUAAGAGCUGUCCAGGUAAAGGGAGCUGCAUGUGCAAAGGCCCUGGUCAGUACAUUAGCUUCGAGAGAUUGUUUUCAGUCUCAUUUUGCCUCCCUGCAUUUACAGAUUUACAGACGGAUGUAGGUGUAUACGUGGAUGUCUGAGUUCUUUUCCAUGGGGCUCCUGAGUCCCUUGAAAAUGGAUAUAUGUGGCAAGAAACAGUUGGGAUAGAUGAUGUCACCUCACAUCACUUGCUUGUAUGUUAGAAUUUUCACUCUGACCCAGGGAGAUCCCUACUUACGUAUGCUUUUACACGUUUAUCUCCUCGACAGUAUUGUCCCUGAGUCUUCCUUUCCAUCAUUCUGAUGAACGAUUUGGAUGAAAAUAUAAGGAUUAUCCACGAUAGUAGUUAAAAACCUGUGCUAGAAUCAGACAGAUGGGUUGAAAUCCCUGUUCCACUAUAUUAUUAACUCUUAGAAUAUUGGGAAGAUGAAUUUAUCUCUCUAAUCCUGUUUCUUUACCUGUAAAAUGGGGCCAAUAAAAGUGCUUACCUCAUAGUUGUCA
rnacentral:lncRNA from 1 species